rnacentral:rRNA from 1 species
UACGAGUACCCCAAGCGUUAUCCGGAAUCAUUGGGCGUAAGGGGUGUGUAGGUGGUCUUGUUAGUCUUCUGUCAAAACUUCGGGCUCAACCCGAAACUUGCAGUGGAAACGGCGAGACUUGAGGAUGCGAGAGGUGAAUGGAACUCAUGGAGUAGGGGUGAAAUCCGUUGAUAUCAUGGGGAACACCAAAAGCGAAGGCAAUUCACUGGCGCAAUCCUGACACUGAGACACGAAAGCGUGGGUAGCGAACGGG